CGGCGCUCGCGCUCCACUGCUUUCUCGGCCGUAAUUUCAGUCUGACCAGCCUUGGCCACGCGGCCUGGAAAAUACCGCUGCUGCCUCGACCACCUGUUCCCGAGAACUGCUGCUGCCGCCGUCUAUGUGGCCACGCAGGCAAAGACACAGAGACUGACAGCAGCACCCAGCAGAGCAGUUCUAGCAGUGAGGAGAAAGUGAUGGAGGAGGACAUGGAGGAGGGUGUCUCAGGAGGAUGAGAAACCAGACCUUCAGGACACUCUUGGGUGAUGAUGUACCUCUAGACAAGGUGGGGACCUCUGCUGCGUUUGCCAAGCCCCACCUAAAAACGAUUUUCUGCUUGGCUUUAUCAAACCAUGUGUAAGGGCAACACUUCUAAAGAUGUGACGCACACAAGGACAGCGUCAGUGAUGGCCCGCUCAUGCCACUGAGACCAGCCAUCCACACUUCUUCGUCCACAACUGAGCAGCGUGGGAAAGAUGCCUGCGAGGCACUGCUGCGCUUGUUUGAAGCUGGCGUGGAUCUACAACGUGGAGUAGCUUUGAUUCCUCCUACAUUUGGAGUUCCAGACACCAGUACUGCUGCAGCAGUACACCUCAGGACAGCGGCCACGGCUGUGGGCAUCACAUACAUCCUGAUCCUCGUGGGCGUUGUGCAGUAUGCACACCAAGUGGGUUAUAGCUCUUUUAGAGAUGCUGAAGAUCCCCAAUGGCACUAUGAAGAUUGGAUGAUGUCUUGGCUGGAGGAGAUGGAACGGAGGAGCCAGGAGCCAGACAAACAUGAAGGCAUGCUCCUCACUGCCUCCCACAUCUUGUGGUUUUGGUGUUUGCCAAAGUCCUGAUCAUUCUUCUGCUCUAUGGGUUCCACGGGCACCACAGGCAGAGAAACAGAAGCUGACAACAGUUUCAACCACCACGAGAGCAACCACAAAGAUGCUAAUAAAUUACCUUGUUUGACCAAAGACUCUGGAGCCCAACUAUGUUUCUUUAUUUGCCUUGAACGUUUUUUCUGAAGACUGUCCUUUUGGGUGCUUUGUGGGGCCAGCCUGUCUGUGGUGCCGGGCUACAUGAAGGGCUAGUGCAGGAGUGGGUAGCGCAGGAGUGGACAGUACCCUCCCGGCUUGGCUGAGCUCCAGCCCCAGAGGUGGCUGCCACAGCAGGAGGUGCUGCAGUAGCCAGCGAUGCCCGGACUGACACCCCCCGCCGGACUGCCUGAGCCAGACCCUUCUGAAAAGACACGUGGCAAAGACCCCCCAACACGUGCUGAUGGGGGCGGGGGGCUGGACGGCCCUUAUGAAAAGAAUUCGCAUGGAGGCAGGCAGCACUCGCGCUACACUGCUCUCUCGCUGUCUCUCUCACGACCAUCACUUCAAUCAGACCGGCCGGGACCACGCGGCCUGAAAAAAGCCGCUGCUGCUGUCUAUGUGUUGAGUUCUUUCCUUUCCUUUUUCUCUCUUCUUCCCUGCCUCCCUCCUGUUCCCUUACAGUGUGCGUGCCGGACUGCAUCUGAGUGACCUGGAUUGUUUUCAGGAAUCACAUUGUGAUCCAAACAGGCUAUGGCUGUGGAUAUCACCCACAUCCUGAUCCUCUUGGGCGUCGUGCAGCGUGCACUGGGAGCAGGCUAUAGCUCUUUCAGAGAUGUUGAAGACCCCCAAUGGCACUAUAGAGAUUGGACUAUGUCUUGGCUGGAGGAGGUGGAACUGACGAGCCAGGAGCCAGACGAACAUGAAGGCAUGCUCCUUACUGUCUCCCGUAUUAUUUGGGUCUUUGUGCUUUCUGAAAUCCUAGUCAUGCCUGUGCUCUAUGCAUUCUACAGGCCACACACGCAGAGACACAGAGACUAACAGCAGCAGCCUGUAGGGGAGCUGGAACAGUGAGGAGGAGGCUAUGGAGGAGUGUGUCUCAGGAGGAUGAUUAAUCAGACAUUUAUGAUACUUUGGGUCAUGAUGUACCUCUGCAUAAGCUGCAUUUGCCAAGAUCCACACAAGCACAACUUCCUGCUUGGCUGCAUCAAGCCAUGUGGAAAAGCAAUGCCUCUAAAGAUGUGAAGGCACACAAGGACCGUGACAGUGAUGGCUGACUGAGUAGCAUGGGAAAGAUGCCUGCGAGGCACUGCUGUGUCUGUUUGAAGCGGGUGUGGAUUUUCAACAUGCAGUAGCUUUGAUACGUAGGACAUAGAGGAUAGUCCUGGUAGACGUUAUAAGGUAGACAGAUGUUUUUUGCCUAGCUUAGAUUGUUCAGUAAAAGUAGUUCUGCAUGAUGCAAGGCCUGCAGUCCAGCUCACUUUCCAGGCAUUGAGCAGGAAGGCACGGAAGUUGCGGCUGCAAGGAGCCUUGCACAAGAGGCCUCUGUUAACACCACGAGAGGGACCACAAAGAUGCCAAUAAAUUACUUUGUUUGAAUAAAACACUGUCUAUGUAUGCCUCAGGAAGACUUUCUCAAGGAAUGCGGGGCCUGAGAUGCUUUCAGGUUCUGCUGUCAAUCAG